CCCCUCUCAAGGUCUCACCUGGAGAGUUUCCAGUCCUCUACCAGUUUUGACUUUGGGAGGGAGAGUCAAGCAGAGGCAUACCCAUUCCAUUCCUAGUUUGAGCAGCGGCUAGUGAGUGGAAGGCAAUCAGCUAGGAGU